rnacentral:misc_RNA from 1 species
UGUGGGAGCGAGCUUGCUCGCGAUGGCGGAGUGUCAGUCUCUAUCUCUGUAACUGAUCCACCGCUAUCGCGAGCAAGCUCGCUCCCACA